UGAGCCUUGGCCCCGUCUUGAAGCCUCUGGGGAGUCUCCAGCUCACAAGGGCAGAGGAGAUGGAGACAGGCCGGUCGACGCGAGGGUGGUGCAGGUGGCCCCUCUGAGGUUUGGCUCUAGGAUGCUGUAUACGAGAUCACUAAUGACGCUGUAUACGAGAUCACUAAUGAGGACGCUGUAUACGAGAUCACUAAUGAGGACGCUGUAUACGAGAUCACUAAUGAGGACGCUGUAUACGAGAUCACUAAUGAGGACGCUCUUGCUGUUGACUCCUAGCUUAAAGAGAGUUCCCGGGGUGAGUGACGGAGGUGGGAUCGGACCCUGGCAGUCUGACGGCAACACCUGUGUUCCUCUGCACUGGGCCGUGGAUGACAUUACACACCUUGCCACUCCUAUGGCCCUGUGUGUUCCGGAUUUUUUUAAAUAUUGGCUAUAAGGUUGAGCGCGUCAGGAUAUGCUGUUUUGGG
rnacentral:lncRNA from 1 species